rfam:Cricetulus griseus cell line CHO-K1, whole genome shotgun sequence.
UCAUUGGUUGUUAUUACAACCACCAAAAAUAUACUUUAGAAAAAGGU